CCCCGAGUAACGCUGGCGGCGUGCUUACACUGCAGUCAAACGAACUUCGGGUUACGUGCCGCGGACGGUGUGAGUACGCGUGAGAAUCUGCCCUCAGGAGGGGGAUAACGGCUGGAAACGGCCGCUAAUACCCCAUAUGCCGCGAGGUGAAAUGAAUUUCGCCUGAGUGAUGAGCUCGCGUCUGAUUCAGCUAGAUUGGUGGGGUAAGAGCCUACCAAUGGCAUCGAUCAGUAGACUGCGUCUGAGAGAGAUGAUCAGCCACACUGGGACUGAGACACGGCCCAGACUCCUACGGGAGGCCGCAGAUGGGGAAUUUUCCGCAAUGGGCGAAAGCCUGACGGAGCAACGCCGCAGUGAGGGAUGAAGGCCUCUGGGCUGUAAACCUCUUUUAUCAAGGAAGAAGAUCUGACGGUACUUGAUGAAUAAGCCACGGCUAAUUCACAGAUGCCAGCAGACCAGACGGUAAUACAGGGAGAUGGCAAGCGUAUCAUCCGGAAUUAUUGGGCGUAAAGCCGUACGCAGGCGGUCUUGUAAGAUCUAGCUCGUUAAAGCGAUAGGAACUUAACAUCCAUUUUGAGGCCAAUGGAAACUGCAAGACUAGACGUGUGAGUACGGGGCAAGAGCGGAAUUUCCCGGUGUAAGCAGGUGAAAUGCGUACGAUAUCGGGGAAGAACACCAAGUGGCGAAGGCGCUCAUGCUGGAGCCAAUAACUGACGCUUCUGGGACGAAAGCACAAG
rnacentral:rRNA from 1 species